rnacentral:rRNA from 1 species
CGCCUUAUACAUGCAAGUCGAACGGAGUAGCAAUACUCAGUGGCAGACGGGUGAGUAACAUGUGGGAAUCUUCCCUUUGGUGAGGAAUAACACGAGGAAACUUGUGCUAAUACCUCAUAAGUCUUUACGGAGAAAGCUUUAUGCGCCAAUGGAUGAGCCCGCAUUUGAUUAGUUUGUUGGUAGGGUAAUGGCCUACCAAGACUGUGAUCAAUAGCUGAUCUGAGAGGAUGAUCAGCCACAUUGGGACUGAGACACGGCCCAAACUCCUACGGGAGGCAGCAGUAGGGAAUAUUGCACAAUGGAGGAAACUCUGAUGCAGCGAUGCCGCGUGAGUGAAGAAGGCCUUUGGGUUGUAAAGCUCUUUCGUCGGGGAAGAAAAUGACUGUACCCGAAUAAGAAGGUCCGGCUAACUUCGUGCCAGCAGCCGCGGUAAUACGAAGGGACCUAGCGUAGUUCGGAAUUACUGGGCUUAAAGAGUUCGUAGGUGGUUAAAAUAGUUGGUGGUGAAAUCCCAGAGCUUAACUCUGGAACUGCCAUCAAAACUUUUUAGCUAGAGUUUGAUAGAGGAAAGCAGAAUUUCUAGUGUAGAGGUGAAAUUCGUAGAUAUUAGAAAGAAUACCAAUUGCGAAGGCAGCUUUCUGGAUCAUUACUGACACUGAGGAACGAAAGCAUGGGUAGCGAAGAGGAUUAGAUACCCUCGUAGUCCAUGCCGUAAACGAUGUGUGUUAGACGUUGGAAAUUUAUUUUCAGUGUCGCAGCGAAAGCAUUAAACACACCGCCUGGGGAGUACGACCGCA